AAGUCAAAGUUCGGGUUUGACCCGGCAAAUACCCAAACCUUGUCCGAGAAAUAUUAGUUAUAUUUAUCCAACGCGUUAACAGCUGACCGCCUAAAAGCAUUCCGCGUGAUUUGUGCGUUGCCAUCAAGCAACUCUUGCCGACCUUAAUUGCCUAUAUAUACCACACGCAACCCGCACUUUCCUUUAUCUUCGCAAUUUAGAUUGCUCUCUCCCUCCUCACCAAUCUCUCUCUCUCUCCAAUUCAGAUUGCUCUCUUCUCUCCUCACAAAUCUCUCUAUCCUGUUUAGAAAUUGAUAAGGAUGACGAUACAUGGCAGGUACGUUAAUUAUCGAAUCUCUCUUCCUCGCUUCCCUCUCUCGAUCUCCGCAAGGAGGUUAAUUAUAUAAUCGUUUCCGAUUAAUAUUUUUGAUGGAUCCCGGCGAAGAUCUAGAAAUUCUAAUUAGAUGUUGUAUCAUGUUAAUGAUUACUAAAUUCAAUAUGAUGAUGAUGAGAGCACUUGUUCUGCGAGAACUAGAUGUAAUUCAUGCCUCCUCAAAGAUCAUUAUGGUAAAACCUAUUUUAAGCCUUCUUAAUUGUGCCUGAUGUCAAGUUUCUGCUAGUUUUGGGUUGAUGCUUUUCUAUCGGUAUUGUUUUGGUCUUGUUGUCAAUGAAGAUUCCAGAUCUCUCUGAGUUAUUUUGUUGAUGAGGCACUACUGAUGAGGACUUGUGCGGUAAUGUUUUGAUGAUUUAGAUCACUGUCUGUUUUAGAUCAUUACCUGUGUAUCUGGUAUUGGUUUUGUUGAUGAAGAUUCUAGGUUUCUAUCUAAUGAUCUUGUCCGGAAAGUGACUUACAUAUGAAGAGGCGGAAGUGACUUAUGCGGUAACAUCAUAACCUGUGACCUGUGUAUCUGCUAGUUUUUGGUUGAUGCUUUACUAUGGGUAUUGGUUUUGUUGAUGAAGAUUCAGGUGUUUCUUCCAUGUUAAAAUUACGAGCUUGUGUAUCUGCUAGUUUUUGGUUGAUGCUUCACUCUGGGUAUUUUUCUUCUUGAUGGAGAUUCUAGGUUUCUCUUCCAUGUUAAAAUUAUGAGAAGUGAAUAAUGAGGAGGAUUUGAGCGUAACUGCUCAUUUUGUUUUGAGUAGUUAUUUGUUGAUAUUGUUGUAGCAAUGGUGUGUUGUGUGUUGGCUGGUUUAUUCACGAAAGUUUUAGAACAGAUCAUUCUAAGAGAAAGAGAUGAGACAAGUGGAUGAGCACAGUGGUACCAUGCCUAUUCUCAAUGCAAUAUUAUAAAUUAAAGCUGGUUAGACUUUGUAGGUCGAGUAGUGAUGGACGUUUAUGGGGGUUAUGUCGGGCUAUUAACAUUUAUUCUUCUGUGUUGUUCAAUGUUCCAGUUCUGUGAAGGUUUUGGGAAGUGAUAAGCUAUAAAGGAUUUCGAUAGUUAGGUAUGUACAUGCGAUGGGCAGACUAUUGAGGACUGUCUUUGGUUUGAUCUCAUUCUUCAUUGUUUGGAGGAAAUGUAUAAACAUUGACUAGAAGCUGUAUUAUUUUACAUGUGUAGCAUUGUUGUACAUGAUAAUGUGUGUUUUAUGCAAGAUGUUCUACAUUAUUGAAGUGUUAAUAAAUUUGAAGACAAAAGUUGUGACUCUUUCAACAUGUGAUCCGAUUCUUAACUAUCGUUGUUGUUUGAACCUUUCUUACGAUAUUGUUUAUCUGACGCCCCUUCUAUUGAUAGAGUAAUGUUUUGUGUCUCUUAUACCUUGUUUGUUGUACAGAAAUAUAACUUUGUUUCAGAGUUAUGGACCACACGAGAUUCAACAAAAGAUAACUGUUUCAUCACCCAGCUAUUUUUCUCUUAUAUUCUUGCAGUGCCCCUAUACUUACUAUUUUUUCCCCCCUUCCGUAUACAGUUCAUUUAUGUUUACAUGGCCUGUCAUUUCUCUAACGAAGAUUUGAAUAUGCUUUUGUCGCUAAUGAUUUCAGAAUUACCGGAGCUUGAAACCAUUGAGGCUGCUAAAGUUCAACUAACUUUAUGGUGAUUUCAAUGGUGAUGCUUAACUGAAGUUAUGAUUAAUCUGAUUUCCUUUGCUACUAUCAAGCAUUCCCCCCCCCCCCCCCCCCCCCCACCCCACGAAAUUGUUUUGAAGUUGAAGACAAAAGUUGUGACUCUUUCAACAUGUGAUCUUAAUCUAAACUAUUGUUGUCGUUUGAACCUUUCUCACGAUAUUGUUUUAAUCUAAUGCCCCUUCUAUUGCUAGAGUAAUGUUUUGUGUCUGUUAUACCUUGUUACAGAAAUCUAACCUUGUUUCAGAGUUAUUAACCACAGCCGUGAGAUUCAACAAAAGAUAACUGUUUCAUCACCCAGCUAUUUUUCUCUUAUAUUCUUGCAGUGCCCCUAUACUUACUAUUCUUACAGUUUAUUGAUUUACAUGGCCUGUCAAUUCUGUAACGAAAAUUUGAAUAUGCUUUGUCGCUCAUGAUUUCAGAAUUUACCGGAGCUUGAAACCAUCGAGGCUGCUAAAGUUCAACUAAUUUUAUGGUGAUUCUUAACUAAAUUCAUGAUUAAGCUGAUUGCUGAUUUCUUUAAUUUCAAAGACUAAAUUUGCUACUAUCAAGCUCUCUCCCACUCACACCACCCCCCCCUCUUCCUCUUCCCCCCUCUCUUCCUCUCCCCCUUCCCUCUCUUCCUCUCUCCCCCUCUCUCUAUAUGUUGAAAUUUUGGAGAGGUCGAUACAUCAUAUUGGUGCUAUUAGGGAAUAAUGUCCCAUUUUGUUUAUUGUUGUCUCCUUAGAGAUGUUGUGGUAGAACCACUUUAAACCUUUUUUGUUCCUGAUAUUAAGUUUCUGCUAGUUUCUAGUUAAUGCUCUUCUGUUUGUGUUUUUGGUGCAAGUGUCUAUGAAGAUUACAAGUUUCUCAAGUAAUAUAGGUGUCCACUGAAGUUGAAUUUUAAAUAGAGAAAUUGUGCGGUAAAAUGUCUGUUGAUUUCGAUCAAUCACGUCUUAGAUUAUUAUCUGUGCAUCUGCUUGUUAUCUGUUUGAUGCUUUUCUACUGGUAUGGGUAGUGUUGAUGAAGAAAUCAAGAAUAUAGGUCUCCAUAAUUUCGUAAGGAAAGUGAUUGAUGAGGAGAAUUUGUGCGGUAGUUUCUGUUUCAAUUUUGAUGCAGCGGUUUGCAAAGAGUCGAGAAUCAACUAAGUGAUCUGUUUCAAUUUUGAUGCAGCAGUUUGCAAAGAAUCGAGAAUCAACUAAGUGAUCGACUAAAUAACCUUAAUAUGAAAAAAUUUGGGUUUUUGAAUCCACAAGAACAUAAACAAUUUUUUGGAUAGAUUGAUACCCCUCCUGUACAGAGAAAGUAUUCUAAUAGACAGACACAACAGCAGGCUUAUUAAACUCGUAAUUGACAUGAUAUUUCUACUGAUUUCAUACAUAAUAAUAAGUGAAUAAGAAGCAUUCACUUAACUGCGUAGAAAGACGACUUCUAACUGCUUACUGGCAGUUAUGUUUCUUCCUAUCUUCCUCUUUGAAGUAUUCUAUACUAGUUGUGCUGCAUAACAUUUUGAGUAGAUAUAUGUUGCUAAUGUUGUUUGCAGUAAGUUUAUUAUGUAGUUUGCUGGUUUUGAUCAUGAACAUUUUAGAUGAGACCACCACAAGAGAUAAUAGACAGGAGGAAAAGUAUAGUGUAACAUGCCUGUUCUCUCUAUGUCCAAGAAGUGAUCACUGAGGUUGAAUUUCCAAUAAAGGAGUUGUGCGGUAAUAUGUCUGCGGAUUUCGGUCAAUCACAUCUUACAUCAUUAUUUGUGUAUCUGCUAGUUUUCAGUUUGAUGAUUUUGUACUGGUAUUGGUAGUGUUGAUGAAGAUUUUGGGUCUCCAUAUGUUGUUCAGAAAGUGGCUGGUGUGUAGAAUUCGUGCGGUAAUUUCUGGUUCCAUUUUGAGUAGAUAAUCGUUUCUAUUGUUGUUUGCAGUAAGUUUAUUGUUUAGUUUACUGAUUUUGUUCAUGAACAUUUUCGAUGAGAAUAGACAGGAGGAAGAGUAUAUUAGUGGUAAGAUGCCUGUUUGCGUAAUAUUCAAGAUUGAAGCAGGUUAGAAUUUGUAGGUGAGCUGUGGACGUCUUAAUGUGAGUUAUUCUGGGUUAUUAAUCUUUGUUUUAUCAAAUUUUCUCCGCUACGGUAUUAUUCUUUAUCGCAGUUGGGUCGGUUUUCAAAUUGGUUCGGAAAUUUAUCAGGUGUAAAGGAUUUUGAUAGUUUGGUAUGUAUGUGACUAUGUGCAAUGGGCAGAAAUAUUGGUGAUGGUAUCUGGUUUAAUAUUUUUUUUAAUUGUUUGGUGGAGAGGCAUAAACUUUGAUUAUUAGUUCUAUUGCUUAACCUGGGUGGCAUUGUUGAAUCGAGAUGAAUGUGUUUUGGCAUGUACGCAAGACGUUCGACACCAUCGAUACAGUUGGAGCGAUGUUAGAGUCAUGAUUAUUUCGACUGGUGAAAUAGGCGGCGGUAGAAUACCCUCAAUCUUAACUAAUCAUUGCUUUUUGGAAAAUUUUAUUUGAAUUGGUUUUUUCAUCAUAUGCCACUUUUUUGUUGUAGCUUUGUUUUGUGUCUAUGAUACUAUGUUUGCUCUACAGGAGUUUAACUAUGUUUCAGCCUUAUUGACCACAGCAGCUAGAUUCACCCAAUCUCACUCUCUGUCAUUUCAGAUUGCUCCCCCUCUCUCCACACAAAUCUCUUUCUCCUAUUUAGAUAUUGACAAGGACGAUGAUACAGGGCAGGUAAGUUAAUCAUCGAUUCUCUCUCCAUCGCUUCCUUCUCUCGAUCUCUGCAAGUGAUUACAUAAUUCAACAUGAUGAUGGUGAUGUUGAGAGCACUUGUUUUGGGGAGAACUAAAUUUAAUUCAUAAUUCCUCAAAGAUUGUUAUGGUAAAACUUAUUUAAGCCUUCUUAAUCGUGCCUGGUGUUAGGUUUUGGGUUGAUGCUUUUUUAUUGGUAUUGGCGUGGUUUUAUUGUCAAUGAAGAUUCCAGAUUUCUUGGCUUGUUUUGUUGACAAGGGACUAAUAAGGACUUGUGUGGUAACAUUUUUGAUGAUAAACCCAGUCUGUAAUUUAUCAACCACUAUCUGUUUUAGAUCAUUACCUGUGUAUCUGGUAUGGGUUUUGUUGAUGAAGAUUCUAGGUUUCUCUCUAGUGAACUUUACCGGAAAUUGACUGACUAAUGAAGGGGCGAAAAUUGACUAAUGUGGAGGACUUAUGCGGUAACAUCAUAACCUGUGUGUAUCUGCUAGUUUUCGGUUAAUGCUUUACUAUGGGUAUUGGUUUUGUUGAUGAAGAUUCUAGGUUUCUCUACCAUGUUAUUAAGAGAAGUGAAUAAUGUGGAUGAUUUUUGCGGUAAAUUCUGUUUUCAGUUUGAGUAAAUAUUUGUUGAUACUGUUUUAGCAAUGGUGCAUCGUGUGUUUGCUGUUUUUAUUUACGCAGAUUUAAGAACAGAUCAUUUUAAGGGAAAGAAAUGAGACAAGUGGAUGAGCACAGGGGUAACAUGCCUAUGCUCUAUGCAAUAUUUGAAAUUAAAGCUGGUUAGACUUUGUAGGUCGAGUAUGGAUGGACUUUUAUGGGGAGUUAUGUCGGGUUAUUAACGCUUAUCCUUCAAAUUUUAAUAUCCUUUUGUCACUAAUGAUUUCAGAAUUUGAAUAUGUCUCCAAUGAUUUCAGAAUUUACUCGAGCUUGAAACCACUGAGGCUGCUGAAGUUUACCUAAUUUUAUGGAUAUGCUUAAUGGUGAUGCUUAAGAAAUUCCAUGAUUAUGCUGAUUUGUUUAAAUGAUGGACUAAACUUUCUAAUAUCAAGCUCUCUCUAUCUCGCUCCCUCCCUCCCUCUCUCCCUCUCUCUCGCUCCCUCCCUCCCUCUCUCUCCGUCUCCCUCUCCCUCUCCUUCUGUCCCUCUCCCUCUCUCCAUGCCCCCCUCCCCCCAUAAGUUGAAAUUUUGAGAGUCCGUUACAUCAAAUUUGUUUUAUCGUGGAAUUAUGUCUUAUUUUAUGUAUUGUUGACUCCUCGGAUUGUUGUGGUAGACCCACUUCUAACCUUCUUUGCGUCCCUGAUAUUAAGUUUUUGCUAGUUUUUGGUUAAUGCUGUUCUGUUUGUGUUUUUGGUUCAAGUGUCCAUGAACAUUAUAGGUUUCUCGAGAAAUUUUGUCCAAGUGACCACUGAAGUUGAAUUUUCAACAGAGGAAUUGUGCGGUAACAUGUCUGGAUUUCGGUCAAUCUCGUCUUACAUCAUUAUUUGUGUAUCUGCAAGUUUUUUGUUUGAUGCUUUUGUGCUGGUAUUGGUAGUGUUGAUGAAGAUUUUAGGUCUCAUAAUUUGUUCAGAAAGUGGCCGAUGUGUAGAAUUCGUUCGGUAAUUUCAGGUUCCAUUUUGAGUAGAUAAUCGUUUCUAUUGUUGUUUGCAGUAGGUUUAUUGUUUAGUUUGCUUAUUUUGAUGUUGAACAUUUUAGAUGAGACCAUUAAAAAAGAGAAUAGACAGGAGGAAGAGAUAUUAGUAGUAACAUGCUUGCUUUUUCUGCCUAAUAUUCAAGAUUGAUGCAGGUUAGAAUUUUUAGGUGAGGUAUAGAUGCUUUAAAGUGAGUUAUUCUGGGUUUUUAACUUUUGGUGUGUCAGAUUUUCUCCUCUUCUGUAUUAUCAUUUGUUGCCGUUGUGUGAAAGGCUUUCGAAUUGGUUCGGAAAUUUCUGAGGUGUAAAGGAUUUUGAUGGUUUGGUAUGUAUGUGCGAUGGGCAGAAUAUUGGUGAUGCAAUCUGGUUUAAUAUUUUUAUUAAUUGUUUGGUGGACAUGCAUAAAAUUUCAUUAGUGGUUCAAUUGCUUAACCUGGGUGGCAUUAUUGAAUCUGAUAGAUGAAUGUGUUUUGGUCUAUAUGCAAGAUGUUCGACACCAUCGAUACUGUUGGACCGAUGUUAGAGUUGAAGACGAAGUCAUGACUAUUUCAACUGGUGAAAUAGGCGGUUGUAGAAUAUCCUUAAUCUUUAUUAAUCAUUGCUUUUUGGAAACUUUUAUUUGAUUUGGUUUUUUCCUCAUAUGCCACUUUUUUGUUGUAGCUUUGUUUUGUGUUUAUGAUAUUAUGUUUGCUCUACAGGAGUUUAACUAUGUUUCAGCCUUAUUGACCACAGCAGCUAGAUUCACCCAAUCUCACUCUCUCUCAUUUCAGAGUGCUCCCCCUCUCUCCUCACAGAUCUCUUUCUCCUAUUUAGAAAUUGACAAGGACGAUGAUAAAGGGCAGGUAUUUUUAAUCAUCGAUUCUCUCUCCGUCGCUUCCUUCUCUCGAUCUCUGCAAGUGAUUACAUAAUUCAACACAUCAUGAUGUUGAGAGCACUUGUUUUGGGGAGAAAUUCCUCAAAGAUUUUUAUGGUAAAACUUAUUUAAGCCUUCUUAAUCGUGCCUGGUGUUAGGUUUUGGGUUGAUGCUUUUUUAUUGGUAUUGGUGAGGUUUUAUUGUCAAUGAAGAUUCCAGUUCUCUUGGCUUGUUUUGUUUACGAGGGACUAAUAAGGAGGUGGACUUGUGUGGUAACAUUUUUGAUGACUAAGAUCCCUGUCUCUUUUUGAUCGAUCACUAUCUGUUUUAGAUCAUUACCUGUGUAUCUGGUAUCGGUUUUGUUGAUGAAGAUUCUAGGUUUCUCUCUGGUGAACUUUACCGGAAAUUGACUGACUAAUGAAGGGGCGAAAAUUGACUAAUGUGGAGGACUUAUGCGGUAACAUCAUAACCUGUGUGUGUCUGCUAGUUUUCGGUUAAUGCUUUACUAUGGGUAUUGUUUUUGUUGAUGAAGAUUCUAGGUUUCUCUACCAUGUUAUUAAGAGAAGUGAAUAAUGAGGAGGAUUUUUGCGGUAAAUUCUGUUUUCAGUUUGAGUAAAUAUUUGCUGAUACUGUUUUAGCAAUGGUGCAUCGUGUCUUCGCUGUUUUUAUUCACGCAGAUUUCAGAACAGAUCAUUUUAAGAGAAAGAAAUGAGACAAGUGGAUGAGCACAGUGGUAACAUGCCUAUUCUCUAUGCAAUAUUUGAAAUUAAAGCUGGUUAGACUUUGUAGGUCGAGUAUGGAUGGACUUUUAUGGGCAGUUAUGUCGGGUUAUUAACGCUUAUCCUUCAAAUUUUAAUAUCCUUUUGUCGCUAAUGAUUUCAGAAUUUGAAUAUGUCUCGGAUGAUUUCAGAAUUUACCCGAGCUUGAAACCACUGAGGCUGCUGAAGUUUAGCUAAUUUUAUGGAUAUGCUUAAUGGUGAUGCUUAACAUAUUCCAUGAUUAUGCUGAUUUGUUUAAAUGAUGGACUAAACUUUCUAAUAUCAAGCUUUCUCUCCCCCCCUCCACCCUCUCUCUCUGUCUCCCUCUCCCUCUCUCCAUGCCCCCCCUCCCCCCAUAAGUUGAAAUUUUAAGAGUCCGUAACAUCAUAUUUGUUUUAUCGGGGAAUCAUGUCUUAUUUUUUGAAUUGUCGACUCCUCUGGGAUUGUUGUGGUAGACCCACUUCUUGUCGUAGACCCACUUCAAACCUUCUUUUUGUCCCUGAUAUUAAGUUUUUGCUAGUUUUUGGUUAAUGCUGUUCUGUUUGUGUUUUUGGUUCAAGUUUCCAUGAACAUUAUAGGUUUUUUGAGGAAUUUUUUCCAAGUGACCACUGAAGUUGAAUUUUCAACAGAGGAAUUGUGCGGUAAAUGUCUGUGGAUUUCGGUCAAUCUCGUCUUACAUCAUUAUCUGUGUAUCUGCAAGUUUUCUGUUUGAUGCUUUUGUGCUGGUAUUGGUAGUGUUGAUGAAGAUUUUAGGUCUGCAUAAUUUGUUCAGAAAGUGGCCGAUGUGUAGAAUUCGUUCGGUAAUUUCAGGUUCUAUUUUGAGUAGAUAAUCGUUUCUAUUGUUGUUUGCAGUAGGUUUAUUGUUUAGUAUGCUUAUUUUGAUGUUGAACAUUAUAGAUGAGGCCGUUAAAAAAGAGAAUAGACAGGAGGAAGAGAUAUUAGUAGUGACAUGCUUGCUUUCUCUGCCUAAUAUUCAAGAUUGAUGCAGGUUAGAAAUUUUAGGUGAGGUAUAGAUGCUUUAAAGUGAGUUAUUCUGGGUUUUUAACGUUUGGUGUUUCAGAUUUUCUCCUCUCCUGUAUUUUCAUUUGUUGCUGUUGUGUGAAAGGCUUUCGAAUUGGUUCGGAAAUUUAUGAGGUGUAAAGGAUUUUGAUGGUUUGGUAUGUAUGUGCGAUGGGCAGAAUAUUGGUGAUGCAAUCUGGUUUAAUAUUUUUAUUAAUUGUUUGGUGGACAUGCAUAAACUUUCAUUAGUAGUUCAAUUGCUUAACCUGGGUGGCAUUGUUGAAUCUGAUAGAUGAAUGUGUUUUGGUGUAUAUGCAAGAUGUUCGACACCAUCGAUACCGUUGGACCGAUGUUAGAGUUGAAGACGAAGUCAUGACUAUUUCAACUGGUGAAAUAGGCGGUUGUAGAAUAACCUUAAUCUUAAUUAAUCAUUGCUUUUUGGAAACUUUUAUUUGAUUUGGUUUUUUCAUCAUAUGCCACUCUUUUGUUGUAGCUUUGUUUUGUGUCUAUGAUAUUAUGUUUGCUCUACUGGAGUUUAACAAUGUUUCAGCCUUAUUGACCACAGCAGCUAGAUUCACCCAAUCUUACUCUCUCUCAUUUCAGAUUGCUCCCCCUCUCUCCUCACAGAUCUCUUUCUCCUAUUUAGAAAUUGACAAGGACUAUGAUAAAGGGCAGGUAAGGUAAUCAUCGAUUCUCUCUCCGUCGCUUCCUUCUCUCGAUCUCAGCAAGUGAUUACAUAAUUCAACAUGAUGAUGAUGAUGCUGAGAGCACUUGUUUUGGGGAGAACUAAAUUUAAUUCAAGAUUCCUCAAAGAUUGUUAUGGUAAAACUUAUUUAAGCCUUCUUAAUCGUGCCUGGUGUUAGGUUUUGGGUUGAUGCUUUUUUAUUGGUAUUGGUGAGGUUUUAUUGUCAAUGAAGAUUCCAGUUUCCUUGGCUUGUUUUGUUUACGAGGGACUAAUAAGGAGGUGGACUUGUGUGGUAACAUUUUUGAUGACUAAGAUCCCUGUCUGUUUUUCAUCGAUCACUAUCUGUUUUAGAUCAUUACCUGUGUAUCUGGUAUCGGUUUUGUUGAUGAAGAUUCUAGGUUUCUCUCUAGUGUACUUUACCGGAAAUUGACUGACUAAUGAAGGGGCGAAAAUUGACUAAUGUGGAGGACUUAUGCGGUAACAUCAUAACCUGUGUGUGUCUGCUAGUUUUCGGUUAAUGCUUUACUAUGGGUAUUGGUUUUGUUGAUGAAGAUUCUAGGUUUCUCUACCAUGUUAUUAAGAGAAGUGAAUAAUGAGGAGGAUUCUUGCGGUAAAUUCUGUUUUCAGUUUGAGUAAAUAUUUGCUGAUACUGUUUUAGCAAUGGUGUAUCGUGUGUUUGCUGUUUUUAUUCACGCAGAUUUAAGAACAGAUCAUUUUAAGAGAAAGAAAUGAGACAAGUGGAUGAGCACAGUGGUAACAUGCCUAUUCUCUAUACAAUAUUUGAAAUUAAAGCUGGUUAGACUUUGUAGGUCGAGUAUGGAUGGACUUUUAUGGGCAGUUAUGUCGGGUUAUUAACGCUUAUUUUUCAAAUUUUAAUAUCCUUUUGUCGCUAAUGAUUUCAGAAUUUGAAUAUGUCUCUAAUGAUUUCAGAAUUUACCCGAGCUUGGAACCACUGAGGCUGCUGAAGUUUACCUAAUUUUAUGGAUAUGCUUAAUGGUGAUGCUUAACAAAUUCCAUGAUUAUGCUGAUUUGUUUAAAUGAUGGACUAAACUUUCUAAUAUCAAGCUCUCCCCCCCCCCCCCCAACUCUCUCUCUUUCUCGCUCCCUCCCUCCCUAUCUCUCAGUCUCCCUCUCCCUCUCCCUCUCCCUCUCUCCAUGCCUCCCCUCCCCCCAUAAGUUGAAAUUUUGAGAGUCCGUAACAUCAUAUUUGUUUUAUCGGGGAAAUAUGUCUUAUUUUUUGUAGGAUUGUUGUGGUAGACCCACUUCUAACCUUCUUUGCGUCCUUGAUAUUAAGUUUUUGCUAGUUUUUGGUUAAUGCUGUUCUGUUUGUGUUUUUGGUUCAAGUGUCCAUGAACAUUAUAGGUUUCUCGAGAAAUUUUGUCCAAGUGACCACUGAAGUUGAAUUUUCAACAGAGGAAUUGUGCGGUAACAUGUCUGUGGAUUUCGGUCAAUCUCGUCUUACAUCAUUAUUUGUGUAUCUGCAAGUUUUUUGUUUGAUGCUUUUGUGCUGGUAUUGGUAGUGUUGAUGAAGAUUUUAGGUCUGCAUAAUUUGUUCAGAAAGUGGCCGAUGUGUAGAAUUCGUUCGGUAAUUUCAGGUUCUAUUUUGAGUAGAUAAUCGUUUCUAUUGUUGUUUGCAGUAGGUUUAUUGUUUAGUAUGCUUAUUUUGAUGUUGAACAUUUUAGAUGAGGCCGUUAAAAAAGAGAAUAGACAGGAGGAAGAGAUAUUAGUGGUGACAUUCUUGCUUUCUUUGCCUAAUAUUCAAGAUUGAUGCAGGUUAGAAAUUUUCGGUGAGGUAUAGAUGCUUUAAAGUGAGUUAUUAUGGGUUUUUAACGUUUGGUGUAUCAGAUUUUCUCCUCUCCUGCAUUAUCAUUUGUUGCUGUUGUGUGAAAGGCUUUCGAAUUGGUUCGGAAAUUUAUGAGGUGUAAAGGAUUUUGAUGGUUUGGUAUGUAUGUGCGAUGGGCAGAAUAUUGGUGAUGCAAUCUGGUUUAAUAUAUUUUUUAAUUGUUUGGUGGACAUGCAUAAACUUUCAUUAGUAGUUCAAUUGCUUAACCUGGGUGGCAUUGUUGAAUCUGAUAGAUGAAUGUGUUUUGGUGUAUAUGCAACAUGUUCGAUACCAUCGAUACCGUUGGACCGAUGUUAGAGUUGAAGACUAAGUCAUGACUAUUUCAACUGGUGAAAUAGGCGGUUGUAGAAUAACCUUAAUGUUAAUUAAUCAUUGCUUUUUGGAAACUUUUAUUUGAUUUGGUUUUUUCAUCAUAUGCCACUUUUUUGUUGUAGCUUUGUUUUGUGUCUAUGAUAUUAUGUUUGCUCUACAGGAGUUUAACCAUGUUUCAGCCUUAUUGACCACAACAGCUAGAUUCACCCAAUCUCACUCUCUCUCAUUUCAGAUUGCUCCCACUCUCUCCUCACAGAUCUCUUUCUCCUAUUUAGAAAUUGACAAGGACUAUGAUAAAGGGCAGGUAAGUUAAUCAUCGAUUCUCUCUCCGUCGCUUCCUUCUCUCGAUCUCUGCAAGUGAUUACAUAAUUCAACAUGAUGAUGAUGAUGCUGAGAGCACUUUUUUUGGGGAGAACUGAAUUUAAUUCAAGAUUCCUCAAAGAUUGUUAUGGUAAAACUUAUUUAAGCCUUCUUAAUCGUGCCUGGUGUUAGGUUCUGGGUUAAUGCUUUUUUAUUGGUAUUGGUGAGGUUUUAUUGUCAAUGAAGAUUCCAGUUCUCUUGGCUUGUUUUGUUUCCGAGGGACUAAUAAGGAGGUGGACUUGUGUGGUAACAUUUUUGAUGACUAAGAUCCCUGUCUGUUUUUGAUCGAUCACUAUCUGUUUUAGAUCAUUACCUGUGUAUCUGGUAUCGGUUUUGUUGAUGAAGAUUCUAGGUUUCUCUCUAGUGAACUUUACCGGAAAUUGACCGACUAAUGAAGGGGCGAAAAUUGACUAAUGUGGAGGACUUAUGCGGUAACAUCAUAACCUGUGUGUAUCUGCUAGUUUUCGGUUAAUGCUUUACUAUGGGUAUUGGUUUUGUUGAUGAAGAUUUUAGGUUUCUCUAAUGUUAUUAAGAGAAGUGAAUAAUGAGGAGGAUUUUUGCGGUAAAUUCUGUUUUCAGUUUGAGUAAAUAUUUGUUAAUACUGUUUUAGCAAUGGUGCAUCGUGUGUUCUGCUGUUUUUAUUGAUGCAGAUUUAAGAACAGAUCAUUUUAAGAGAAAGAAAUGAGACAAGUGGAUGAGCACAGUGGUAACAUGCCUAUUCUCUAUGCAAUAUUUGAAAUUAAAGCUGGUUAGACUUUGUAGGUCGAGUAUGGAUGGACUUUUAUUGGCAGUUAUGUCCGGUUAUUAACGCUUAUCCUUCAACUUUUAAUAUCCUUUUGUCACUAAUGAUUUCAGAAUUUGAAUAUGUCUCUAAUGAUUUCAGAAUUUACCCGAUCUUGCAACCACUGAGGCUGCUGAAGUUUACCUAAUUUUAUGGAUAUGCUUAAUGGUGAUGCUUAACAUAUUCCAUCAUUAUGCUGAUUUGUUUAAAUGAUGGACUAUACUUUCUAAUAUCAAGCUUUCUCCCCCCCCCCCCCCCACUCUCUCUCUCUCUCUCGCUCCCUCCCUCCCUCCCUCUCUGUCUCCCUGUCCCUCUCCUUCUGUCCCUCUGCCUCUCUCCAUGCCCCCCCUCCCCCCAUAAGUUGAAAUUUUAAGAGUCCGUAACAUCAUAUUUGUUUUAUCGGGGAAUCAUGUCUUAUUUUUUGAAUUGUUGACUCCUCUGGGAUUGUUGUGGUAGACCCACUUCUUGUGGUAGACCCACUUCAAACCUUCUUUUUGUCCCUGGUAUUAAGUUUUUGCUAGUUUUUGGUUAAUGCUGUUCUGUUUGUGUUUUUGGUUCAAGUUUCCAUGAACAUUAUAGGUUUUUUGAGGAAUUUUGUCCAAGUGACCACUGAAGUUGAAUUUUCAACAGAGGAAUUGUGCGGUAAUAUGUCUGUGGAUUUCGGUCAAUCUCGUCUUACAUCAUUAUGUGUGUAUCUACAAAUUUUCUGUUUCAUGCUUUUGUGCUGGUAUUGGUAGUGUUGAUGAAGAUUUUAGGUCUCCAUAAUAUGUUCAGAAAGUGGCCGAUGUGUAGAAUUCGUUCGGUAAUUUCAGGUUCCAUUUUGAGUAGAUAAUCGUUUCUAUUGUUGUUUGCAGUAGGUUUAUUGUUUAGUAUGCUUAUUUUGAUGUUGAACAUUUUAGAUGAGCGCAUUAAAAAAGAGAAUAGACAGGAGGAAGAGAUAUUAGUAGUAACAUGCUUGCUUUUUCUGCCUAAUAUUCAAGAUUGAUGCAGGUUAGAAUUUUUGGGUGAGGUAUAGAUGCUUUAAAGUGAGUUAUUCUGGGUUUUUAACAUUUGGUGUAUCAGAUUUUCUCCUCUCCUGUAUUAUCAAUUGUUGCCGUUGUGUGAAAGGCUUUCGAAUUGGUUCGGAAAUUUGUGAGGUGUAAAGGAUUUUGAUGGUUUGGUAUGUAUGUGCGAUGGGCAGAAUAUUGGUGAUGCAAUCUGGUUUAAUAUUUUUAUUUAAGUUACCUGGACUCGGCUAAAAGUGUCCAACAUGGAUACGUGUCGAAGUGUCGGACUCAGCAAUAAUUUGAAAAUUUUACAUGUUUUUGUCUUAAAAUAAGUGUAGGAGUGUCCAUACCCAUGUCCGAGUGUCGAGUGUCCGACACGGAUACUCGAGACAAAAUGAAGAGUCCGGGUAACAUAGAUUUUUAUUAAUUGUUUGGUGGACAUGCAUAAACUUCAUUAGUAGUUCAAUUGCUUAACCUGGGUGGCAUUGUUGAAUCUGAUAGAUGAAUGUGUUUUGGUGUAUAUGCAAGAUGUUCGACACCAUCGAUACCGGUGGACCGAUGUUAGAGUUGAAGACGAAGUCAUGACCAUUUCAACUGGUGAAAUAGGCGGUUGUAGAAUAACCUUAAUCUUAAUUAAUCAUUGCUUUUUGGAAACUUUUAUUUGAUUUGGUUUUUUCAUCAUAUGCCACUUUUUUGUUGUAGCUUUGUUUUGUGUCUAUGAUAUUAUGUUUGCUCUACAGGAGUUUAACUAUGUUUCAGCCUUAUUGACCACAGCAGCUAGAUUCACCCAAUCUCACUCUCUCUCAUUUCAGAUUGCUUCCCCUCUCUCCUCACAGAUCUCUUUCUCCUAUUUAGAAAUUGACAAGGACUAUGAUAAAGGGCAGGUAAGUUAAUUAUCGAUUCUCUCUCCGUCGCUUCCUUCUCUCGAUCUCUGCAAGUGAUUACAUAAUUCAACAUGAUGAUGAUGAUGGUGAGAGCACUUUUUUUGGGGAGAACUAAAUUUAAUUCAAGAUUCCUCAAAGAUUGUUUUGGUAAAACUUAUUUAAGCUUUCUUAAUCGUGCCUGGUGUUAGGUUUUGGGUUGAUGCUUUUUUAUUGGUAUUGGUGAGGUUUUAUUGUCAAUAAAGAUUCCAGUUCUCUUGGCUUGUUUUGUUUACGAGGGACUAAUAAGGAGGUGGACUUGUGUGGUAACAUUUUUGAUGACUAAGAUCCCUGUCUGUUUUUGAUCGAUCACUAUCUGUUUUAGAUCAUUACCUGUGUAUCUGGUAUCGGUUUUGUUGAUGAAGAUUCUAGGUUUCUCUCUAGUGAACUUUACCGGAUAUUGACGGACUAAUGAAGAGGCGAAAAGUGAGUAAUGUGGAGGACUUAUGCGGUAACUUCAUAACCUUGUGUAUCUGCUAGUUUUCGGUUAUUGCUUUACUAUGGGUAUUGGUUUUGUUGAUGAAGAUUCAAGGUUUCUCUACCAUGUUAUUAAGAGAAGUGAAUAAUGAGGAGGAUUUUUGCGGUAACUUCUGUUUUCAGUUUGAGUAAAUAUUUGUUGAUACUGUUGUAGCAAUGGUGCAUUGUGUGUUUGCUGUUUUUAUUCACGGAGAUUUAAGAACAGAUCAUUUUAAGAGAAAGAAAUGAGACAAGUGGAUGAGCACAGUGGUAACAUGCCUAUUCUCUAUGCAAUAUUUGAAAUUAAAGCUGGUUAGAAGAUGGACUUUAAUGGGAGUUAUGUGGGGUUAUUAACGCUAUAUCCUUCUGUGUUAUUCAAUGUUACAGUUUAAUAAAGGCUUUGGGAAGUGAUAAGGUGUAAAGGAUUUUGAUAGUUAGGUGUGUAUGUACAUUAGAGCUGGCAAUAGUGUCGUGUACCUUCAUUUCGUGUAUUUUCGUGUAUCAGCCCGUUGUAAAUUUCGUGUACUUAAUUUACAACCCGCGUCCGAUCGAAAACGUUUCGUGUAUAUUUCAUGUACUUUUCGUGUACAUUGUAUAUAUAAAUAUUAAUGUAAUUUUAAUAAAAAAAUAUCCUUACAAUAUAUAUUUUAACGUUUUGUUUAUCAAAUUUUCUCCUCUCCUGUAUUAUUCUUUGUUGCAGUUGUGUGAAAGGCUUUCAAAUUGGUUUGGAAAAUUAUCAGUUGAAAAGGAUUUUGAUGGUUUGGUAUGUAUGUGCAAUGGGCAAAAUAUUGGUGAUGCAAUCUGGUUUAAUAGUUUUAUUAAUUGUUUGGUGGAGAUGCAUAAACUUUGGUGCAUCGUGUGUUUGCUGUUUUUAUUCACAAAAUUUUAAGAACAGAUCAUUUUAAGAGAAAGAAAUGAGACAAGUGGAUGAGGACAGUGGUAACAUGCCUAUUCUCUAUGCAAUAUUUGAAAUUAAAGCUGGUUAGACUUUGUAGGUCGAGUGUGGAUGAACUUUUAUUGGGAGUUAUGUCGGGUUAUUAACGCUUAUCUUUCAAAUUUUAAUAUGCUUUUGUCACUAAUGAUUUCAGAAUUUGAAUAUGUCUCUAAUGAUUUCAGAAUUUACCCGAGCUUGAAACCACUGAGGCUGCUGAAGCUUACCUAAUUUUAUGGAUAUGCUUAAUGGUGAUGCUUUACAAAUUCCAUGAUUAUGCUCUCCCUCCCUCUCCCCCCCUCCGUCUCCCUCUCCCUCUCUUUCUCCCCCUCUCCCCCUCUCCAUGUCCCCCUCCCCUUCCCCCAUAAGUUGAAAUUUUGAAAGCUGGUAACAUCUAUUUUUGUUUUAUAGGGGGAUUAUGUCUUAUUUUGUGUAUUGUUGACUUCUUUGGGAUUGUGUUGGGGUAGACCCACUUUAAACCUUCUUUUUGUCCCUGAUAUUAAGUUUUUGCUAGUUUUUGGUUAGUGCUGUUCUGUUUGUGUUUUUGGUUCAAGUGUCCAUGAACAUUAUAGGUUUCUCGAGGAAUUUUGUCCAAGUGACCACUGAAGUUGAAUUUUCAACAGAGGAAUUGUGCGGUAACAUGUCUGUGGAUUUUGGUCAAUCACGUCUUACAUCAUUAUUUGUGCAUCUGCAAGUUUUCUUUUUGAUGCUUUUGUACUGGUAUUGGUAGUGUUGAUGAAGAUUUCAGGUCUCGAUAAUUUUGUUCAGAAAGUUGCGGAUGUGUAGAAUUUAUGCGGUAAUUUCUGGUUCCAUUUUGAGUAGAUCUUUGUUGCUAUUGUUGUUUGCAGUAAGUUUAUUGUGUAGUUUGCUGAUUUUGAUCAUGAACUUUUUAAGAUGAGACCAUUACAAAAGAGAAUGGGCAGGAGGAAGAGUAUUGUAGUGGUAACAUUCCUGUUAAGAUUGAAGCAGGUUAAAAUUUGUAGGUGAGGUAUUGAUGGUUUUAAGGUGAGUUAUUCUGGGUAAUUAACAUUUUCUUUAUCAAGUUUUCUCAUUUCCUGUAUUAUUCUAUGUUAUUGUUUUGUGAAGGUUUUGAAAUUGGUUCGGAAAUUUUCAGGCGUAAAGGAUUUUGAUGGUUUGGUAUGUACGUGCAAUGGGCACACUAUGUCUCUGAUUUAAUUCUAUUCUUACUUGUUUGGUGAAGAUGUAUAAACUUUGAUUAGAAGUUCUAUCGUUUACCUAGGGGGCAUUGUUUGAAUAUACAAAUGAAUGUGUUUUGGCAUGUAUGCAAGAUGUUCGAAACAAUCGAUAUAAUUGGAGCCAUGUUUGAGUUAAAGACAGAUUCUUGACUCCACAACGGUGAAUAGGUGGUGGUAGAGUAACCUGUAUCUAACAUGCCUAUCCUUUCUUUUUGAGUGCUAAUCGAGAUAAAGCUGGUUAGAUGUUGUAGGUGAGGUAUGGGUGUUCUAUGGUAGGUUGUAUCGGGCUAUUUACUUUUCUCCUUUCAUGUAUUAUUCUAUAUUACAGUUGUGCGGAUGGUUUUGAAAUUAGUUCAGAAAUUGAUAAGGUGUAAUGGAUUGAUGGUUUAAUAUAUAUAUAUAUAUAUGCAAUGGGCGAACUAUUUACGAUGGUGUCCGGUUUGAUAUUGUUCUUAAUUGUUUGGUGAAGAUCUAUGAACUUUGAUAGAAGUUGUAAUUAUUUUAUCUGUGUGGCUUUGUUGGAUAUGAUAAGUGCAAAUGUUUUGACAUGUAUGUAUGAUGCUAGACACAAUUGGUGCGAUGAUAUAUUUGAAGACAAAGUCAUGACUCUGUCGACAGGUGAUGGUAGAGUAAUCUGAAUCUGUUGCUUUCAGGAAUAUUUUAUCUGAUUUUGUUUUCAUUACAUGCCACUUUCUUAUGUAGUUAUGUUUUGUGGCUGUUACACUAUGUAUCUUGUGCAGAAGCUUACAGAAGUUUAGCUGUGUUACAGAACAGUUUAACACAUAACUUUCUCAUCACCCAGCUUUUGUUCCUUUACAUUCUGGCUGCAAUCUCUAUUUUCUAUUUUUUUCUUCCUUUCUCUGUGCAUUUAUCUAUGUUCAUAAUGUGUCUAUCCUGUAACAAAGAUUAAAUAUGUUUCUGUUACUGAUGAUUUCAGAAUAUACCUGAGCUUAGAGACUAUGCCUGCUUCCAGAGUCCAGCUGAUUUCUUGGUUUUGUGCAUAAUGGUGACACUCUUCCUUAGAUUAUUACUAGAUUUUAUGUUAUAAAUCUCUUUUUAACCUCUAUACCCCUUCCCCUCUCCCAAGCCACUUUUUUACUCAGGAUUAUUGCUUCUGACUUCUAACUUGGAGAGGCCGAUACAUAUGUUUGGUACUCUUAGGGUAUUGUCCCAUUUCAUUUAUUAUAGACUGCUUAGAGAUUGUUAAGGUAGACACGGUUAAAAUUUUCUUUGUGGCCCCUGAUAUUAGGUUUCAGCUAGUGGUAUUAUCAAUGAAGACUCUAGGUUUGUUUAGUAUCUUUUUCGUUAAGUGACUAAUGAGGACUUGUGUGGUUUAUUUCUUUUAAUUUCAAUCACUUCAUGUUUUAGAUCGUUACCUGCGUAUGUGUUAGUUUCUGUUUGAUGCUUUUGGACGGGUAGUUUUUAUAAUGAUGAUUCUAGGUUUCUCUGCCAUACAUUUGUUUGAAAAGGUGUCUGAUGAGGUGGAUUUGUGCUGUAAAUUUUGUCUUCAUUUUGAAUUAAUAUUCGUUGCUAUUGCUGUAGGAAUAGUUUGUCGUGUUAUUUAAUCUUCUAGUCAUGCAUUCUUGAGAUCAGAUCAUUGCAAGAGAGAGACGACACAGGUGGAUGAGUACAGUUUAGGACCCUUUCGUGAUUCGUCGUGUGAUGGUAGAGUUAUCUGAGUAUUUAAUCAGUUGUUGCUUUUUGAAUGUUCAUUCUGUUUUCAUCAAUGCCCUUGUUCCUCAGGUAAGUCUUUCGUGUAACUCUUUCGUGUAACGAACAUUUGGAUAUGAUUCUCCCUCCCUCUCUCUCUCUCCCUCCCUCUCUCUCUCUCCCCCUCUCCCCCUCUCCCUCUCUCUCCCUCUCUCUCUCUCUCCCUCUCUCCCCCUCUCUCCCUCAACCUCUCCCUCCCUCCCUCCCUCUUGGUACCAUCAGGGGAUUAUUUCCCUUUUCAAACCUUUUCAAUUAUCACUGAUGUCAACUUUCUAAUAUAUUUGGUGGAUGCUAUUUUAUUUGUAGAUUUUAUCAUUGGAACACAUUUUCUACGUUUUCAACAAUGAGUUGGAUUUGUGCAGUAACUUUUGAUUACUUUUGAAGUAGAUAUUUGUUGCUCCUGCUGUAGCAGUAGUUCAUCAUGUUUGCUGAUUUUAUUCACUUAUGUUUUAGAUGAGAAAAUGUGAAGAGAAAGAGGCGAAAUAGGAGGACGCGUACAGUGUGACAUGCCUUUUUUUUUAUCUACAGCUGGUUAGACUUUGUAGAUGAGGUAUAGAAUUUUAUGGUGAGGUUUUACCAGGUUAUUAACGUUUGGGCUAUAUACGUUUCUUCUUUUGUGUAUUAUUCAUUAUUAUAGUUGUGUCAGGUUUGGAAAUUGAUUAAGUGUAAAGAACUGUUAAUGAUGAUCUCUGGUUUGAUAUUAUUCUCAGUUGGUUGGUGAAGAUGUAUAAACUUUGAUUAGAAGUUGUAUAGUUUUUUACCUGGUUGACAUUGUUUGAUAUGAUAAAUUCAUGUGUGCAAGGUGGUUGACAUAAUUGGAGCGAUUAUUAAGCUGAAGUGAAAGGCAUGGCUUUGACGGGUGAUGAUGGAGUAACCUGUAUCAUAAUUAAUCAUUGCUUUUUUGAAUUUUUUAUCUAAUUUGGUUUUCAUCAUAUUCUACUUUUUGAUAAAAGUUUUCUUCUUUUAUACCUAUUUUGUUGUACAGAAGUUAACUAUGUUUCAGCUUCAUUGACCACGGCACGCUAGAUUCACACAACAUUAUGUCUCAUCACUCAGCUUUUGUUCUAUAACAUUCUGGCAGUGACUGCAUGCUCUGUUUACUAUUUUUUUCCUUUCUGUACAGUUCAUAUAAGUUCAAAACGAGUCCUUCCAAAAAUAAAGAUUAAAUAUGUUUUCGUUCAUGGUGAUUUCAGAAUUUUCCCAAGCUUAAGCCUAUUUGUGCUGCCAGAGUUCAGCUUAUUUCUUGGCUUGUGCUUAACGGUGAUGCUCGACUCUUCCUUGGUUUAUUGAACUAAAUUUGUUGUAAUAUAGCUAUCAUUGGUCUCCCUCUCCCUCCCAAUAUCUCCGUUCCCCUGCCACUUUCUUUCUUAUGAUUUUUAAUUAGGAGCUCCUAGGAAGGAAGUUCGAGAGGCAGAUACAUCAUUUAUAAGAGGAUCAAGUUCCCUUAGUGUAUUAUCCGCUCUUAGAAAUUUUAUCGUAGACUUAUUUUAAUUCUUAUCAUACCUUACAUUAACUUUCUGCUAGUUUGCGGUGGUGCUUCCUAUUGGUAUUGUUCGUGUUAUUGUCACUUUCUCUUGAUUUUAGCUUUCAAGAAGGAAGGUCAAGAGGCCGAUACAUCAUUUUGGUAUAUAAGAGGAUUAUGUCCUCUUCGUGUAUUAUUGACUCCGUAGAAACUUUUGUGGUAGACUUAUAUUAAAAUUUCUCUAUAAAGGCUGAUAUUAAGUUUCUGCUAGUUUGUGGUGGCUCUUUUCUUAGUAUUGCUGGUGGUAUUGUCGAUGAAGAUUCUUGAUUUCUCUAGUAAUUUUGUCAGAAAUGGACUGGGGAGGAGAACCUGUACGUUGACCUGUUUGCUAAUUUAGAUCACUGUAUUUUAUAGAUCAUUACCUACGUUUUUGCCAGAGUUUCCGUUGGUACUUUUUUUGUUGAAGAUUCUAGGUUUCUUUUCUGUAUAAUUUGUUAUAGAAGUUAAAUAAUGAGGAUAUGUGCUAGAGAAGGUGACGUAAGUGGUUGCGUGUACGGUCAUAAACUUUCUUAUUUUCUAUUUGUUUGAUGUUGGAUAUUAAAGCUGGGUAGACUUUGGUGGCAAGUUAUGAAAGUUUUGUGGUGGGUUAUUCACAUUUAUGUUCUUACUUAACUGGAUAGUCUCUGGUUUCAUAUUAUUCCUAUUGUUUUGAUUAUUGUUUACUUGGGUGACAUUGUUGAAUAUGAAAAAUGCAUUCGUUUUGGCAUGUCUGGACGAUGUUCGACCGAAUUGGCUAUAUUAUGAAGUUAAAGACCAAGUCACGACUCUUUCUUGGGUAAAGGUGGAGUAAUUUGUAUUGUAGUUAAACAUUGCUUUUUGGAAUUUUUUAUCUAGUUGGUUUUCAUCAUAUGCCACUCUUUUGUUAAGUUUUGUUUCGUGUCUCUUAAUACUCUUUUUGUUAUGCAGAAAUUUAACUUGUUUCAGCUUUAUUGACCACAGCAUCACCAAAUUAACACAUCAUAAUGUCCCAUUCAUCACCUUUCUUUUGUACUUACAUUCUGGCAGUGCCUGCAAGCUCUAUGUACUAAUUUUCUUUCCAUUUUUUGUACAGUUUAUUUAAGUUCAUAACGAGUCUUUCUGGAAACCAAGUUUAUAUAUGUUUUUGUUCAUGCUGAUUUUAGAAUAUAACCCGAGCUUGUGACUGUGCUGCCAGAGUUCAACUAAUUUCUUGGUUUCUGCUCAACGGUAUAUAGGUUGUGAAAGGGGUGUGUAAAGGUUUUUGAUGGUUUUGUAUAUUUUCCGGGUGAGGAUGCUUAAAUUUGAGUUGAAGUUUUAUUAUUUUACCUUGGUGACAUUGUUGAAUAUUAUAUAUGAAUGUGUUUUGGCAUGCCUGCAAGAUGGUCAACAGAAUUGGGGCCGAAUAUAAAGUUGGAGACAGUCAUGGCUCUUUCACGGGUGACGGUGGAGUAAUCUGCAUCUCAAUCAAACAAGUGCUUUCUGGAAUCUUUUAUCUGAGUGUUUUCCAUCAUAUGCCACUUUUUUGUUGAAGUAUUGUUUCGUGUCUGUUAUAUGGAAGUUUUGUGGUGGGUUAUAUCGGGUUAUUAACAUUUUCUCCUACCACGUCUUGAUUGAAAUUACAGUUGUUUGAAAUGAUGAUGUAAAGGAUUUUGAUGGCUUUGUAUGUAUGUGCAAUAGGCGAACAAUUAACUGUGGUGUCUGGUUUGAUAUUAUUCUUUAACUUUUUGGCGAAGAUGUAUAAGCUUUGAUACAAAGUUGUAUUAUUUUACCUGGGUGACAUUGUUUAAUAUGAUAAAUGCAUGUGUUUUGGCAUGUCUACCAGAUAGUCGACAAAAUUGGAGCGAUUACAAAGUUGAAGACAAAUAAUGACUCUUUCGUGGGUGACAGAGUAAUUUGUAUCUCAAUUAAACAUUGCUUUUUAUAAUUUUUUAUCUAAUUUAAAUUCAUCAUAUACCUCUUUUUUGCGUAAGUUUUGAUUUGUGUUUGUUAUACUCUGUUAUACAGAAUUUUAACUUUGUUUUAGCUUCAUAGACCAUAGCACACUAGAUUAACACAGCAUAAUCCAUCACCCUGUUUUUGUUCUAUUACAUUCUGGCAGCCCUACCAGCUCUAUUUACUGUUUUUGUUCCUUUUUCUGUGUAAUUUAUUUAAGUAAAAAAAGUUCUUUGCAAAAACAAAGAUAUAAGUGUCUUUGUUCAUGAUUAUUUCAGAAUUUACCUGAGCUUGAGCCUGUGUGUGUUGCCAGAGUUCAGCUAAUUUCUUGGUUUGUUCUUAACGGUGAUGCUUGAUUCUUCCUUGGAUUAUUGCACUAAAUUUUGUGCAAGUUUAUGUUGAUACUUAUCUGGUUGUAUAAUUUUGUCAGGAAGGGACUAGUGGGGAGGUGGACUUGUGCAGUAACCUGUUUGCUGAUGUAGAUCACUAUAUCUCUUAUAUCAUUACCUGGGACUUUGCUAGUGUCUGAUUGUUGUUUUUCUAUGGGUAUUCGUUUUGUUGAUAAAGAUUCUAGGUUUAUUUUCCGUAAUUUUGUUGGAAUAAUGAACAAUGAGAAGGAUUUAUGCGGUAACCUUUGUUUCAUAUUGAGUAGAUAUUUGUUGCUAUUGCUGUAGCAACAGUUUAUCAUGUUUUUUUCUGAUUUUAAUCAUGCAUGUAUUGGAUCUUACCAAUGCAAGAGACGGGACAGGACAGGACAGGAGGGCAUAUACAGUGGUAACAUGGCUAUUCUCUAUAUGUGUAGUAUUUGAGAUUAAUGCUGACUUUGUAGGUCAGUUAUGGAAGUUUCAUGGUGAGUCAUUCGUGUUAUUAACUUUUCUCCUUUCGUGUAUUAUAUGAUAUUACAGUUUUGUGAAAGGUUUGGGAACCUAUCAGGUAUAAAUGUUUUUGAUGGCUCGGUAUGUAUAUGUAAUGGGAGAAAUAUAAACAGUCUUCUGCUUGAUAUUAUUCUUAAUUGUCCGGUGAAGAUGUAUAAACUUUGAUUAGAAUUUAUAUUGAUUUACCUGGAUGGCAUGUUGAAUAUAAUAAAUGAUUGUGUUUUGGCAAGUAUGCAAAUAGUCGACGGUAUUGGAGUGAUAAGAAAGUUGAAGACAGUUAAUGAAUCUUUUGCGGGUGAUAGUGGGGUAAUCUUUAUCUUAAUUAAUCGUUAAGUUUUGGAAUAGUUUAUCUGAUUUUGUUUCAAUCAUAUCCUCCUUUUUUGUUAGAGUUUUUGUUUCGUGUCUGUUAUACGUUGUUUGUUGUACAGAUGUUAACUUUCUUUCAGGUGUGUACAUUUUGUAGUGGGUAUCACGGCGUUUCUCCUAUGAUGAUGGUUUUGGAAGUGAUCAGGUGUGACAUGCAGUGGCGAAUUAUUGAGGAUAGUCUCUGGUUUGAUAUCAGACUCUAUUGUUUGGUGAAGAUGUUUUAGAACUGACUGGGAGUAGUAUUAGUUUACCUGUGUGGAUUUGUUCGAUAUGAUAAAUACAUGUGUUUUGGCUUGUAUACAAGAAGUUCGACAUAAAUUUAAAGACAGUCAGGACUCUUGUGAUUCGUCGUGUGAUGGUAGAGUAAUCUGGAUCUUUAUUUAAUUGUUUCUUUGAGGAAUGUUUUUCUGUUUUUAUCGAAGCCCUUGUUUUGUUAUAGUUUUAUUUUGUACUCGUAUCUGUUAUACUUUUUUUCUUUUUUUCCUAAAUAAUCUGUUAUACCUUGUUUCAGCUAUAUUGACCACAGCACGCUAGAUUCAUCAAAAGAUAACUGUUCCAUCACCCAGCUUUUUUUCUGUUACAUUCUGGCAGUGCCUAAACUCUUUACUAAUUUCUUUCCUUUUUCUGCAACAAAUAUAUGAAUUAGCCUUUUUGCACUUUUGAUUCCAGAAGUUACCCGAGCUCGAGACAUAUCUGCUGCCGAAGUUCAUACAAUUCCAUGGUUUGCGCAUAAUGGUGACGCUAGACUCUUCCUUUGAUUUAAUGGACGAAGUUUUCUGUUAAGCUUCUGCCCUCUGCCUCCCUCUUUCUCUCUCUCAUCUCCCUUUCCCACUUUCCUUUACUUAAACUACUAAGUUGGAGAUUUGAGAUGUCGAUACAACAUAUUAAUACCAUCAGGGGCUAAUUUCCUAUUCCAUGAAUUAUUGACUCCUAAUUGAUUCUUAUGGUAGACUCGCUUUAAACUUUCUUGAUUGUUUCUGUUGUUACUGUUAUGUUUCUGCUAUAUUUGGUUGAUGCUUUUCUAUUGUAUUUCAGUGUAAAUUGUCAAUAAAGUUUAUAGGUUUCUGGAGAAAUUUUGCCCAGAAAGUGAAAAUUGUAGAGGACUUGUAACAUGUUUGCUGAUUUUGAUCAAGUACGUUAUAGUUGUAACAUGUUUUUUGAUCAAGUUGUAUCUGCUAUUGUUUUGGUUGAUGCUUUUCUACUGGAAUUGGUGGUGCUGAUGAAUAUAUUCUCUCCCAUAAUUUUGUUCGAAAGUGACUUGUGAGUAGCAUUUUUGUGGUAAUACAUUGGUUCCAUUUUGAGUAGAUAUUUGUUGAUAUUGUAGCAAGAAGUUUAUAUUUUGAGUAGAUAUUUGUUGAUAUUGUAGCAAGAAGUUUAUCUUUUGUAUGAGACCAUUACAAGAGAGACUAGACAGGAAGUCGAGUAUGAUGGUGACAAGCCUAAUCUCUCUAUUUGGUUUUUGUUCAUGAUUGAUAUCGAAAUUUACCUGAGCUCGAGACUGUUGCCAGAGUUCAGCUGAUUUCUUGGUUUGUACUUAAUUAAAUAAGUUAAUGCUGAUGCUAGAUUUUACUUUUAUUGUUCCAUUCUGAAUAGACAUAUGUUGAUAUUGCUGUAGCAAUAAGUUUAUCAUUUGUUUGC